CAAAAGAUAGUUUAUUUAGAAUUCCGGUUUUGGGUAUCGGGGGAGAAGGUUUGAAUCCUUUUUUUUGA
rnacentral:tRNA from 1 species